rnacentral:rRNA from 1 species
UACGUAGGGGGCAAGCGUUGUCCGGAUUUAUUGGGCGUAAAGAGCGUGUAGGCGGCUUUACAGGUCCGUUGUGAAAACUCGAGGCUCAACCUCGAGACGCCGGUGGAAACCGUAAGGCUAGAGUCCGGAAGAGGAGAGUGGAAUUCCUGGUGUAGCGGUGAAAUGCGCAGAUAUCAGGAGGAACACCGAUGGCGAAGGCAGGUCUCUGGGCCACUACUGACGCUGAGAAGCGAAAGCAUGGGGAGCGAACAGG